rnacentral:misc_RNA from 1 species
AAGUCGUAACAAGGUUUCCGUAGGUGAACCUGCGGAAGGAUCAUUACUGGAAGGGGGGAGGAAAUGGACCUGUUGCCAGGACGUUUAUAUGUACAUCUACGUUGGAUUUAUAUUGAUCGAAUCAAUUCAUAUGAUGACAUAUAUGAGACAUCAACUUGACUUGGCACCAUGGAUCUCUCGGCUCUGG